UACGUAGGGGGCGAGCGUUGUCCGGAAUCAUUGGGCGUAAAGCGCGUGUAGGCGGUUCGGUAAGUCUGCUGUGAAAGUCCAGGGCUCAACCCUGGGAUGCCGGUGGAUACUGCCGAACUAGAGUGCGGAAGAGGCGAGUGGAAUUCCCGGUGUAGUGGUGAAAUGCGUAGAUAUCGGGAGGAACACCAGUGGCGAAGGCGACUUCCUGGCCUGUUCUUGACGCUGAGGCGCGAAAGCUAGGGUAGCAAACGGG
rnacentral:rRNA from 1 species